AUAGCAUAUCAAUAAGCGGAGGAAAAGAAACUAACAAGGAUUCCCCUAGUAACUGCGAGUGAAGAGGGAAAAGCUCAAAUUUGUAAUCUGGCGGCCCUUUGGCCCGUCCGAGUUGUAAUCUAGAGAAGUGCUACCUGCGCUGGACCAUGUACAAGUCUCCUGGAAUGGAGCAUCAUAGAGGGUGAGAAUCCCGUCUUUGACAUGGACUGCCAGAGCUUAUAGGUGUGCUCUCAAAGAGUCGAGUUGUUUGGGAAUGCAGCUCAAAAUGGGUGGUAAAUGCCAUCUAAAGCUAAAUAUUGGCGAGAGACCGAUAGCGAACAAGUACCGUGAGGGAAAGAUGAAAAGAACUUUGGAAAGAGAGUUAAACAGUACGUGAAAUUGCUGAAAGGGAAACGCUUGAAGUCAGUCGCAUCGGUCAGAAAUCAACCUUGCUUUUGCUGGGUGUACUUUCCGUCUGAUGGGUCAGCAUCAAUUUUGAUUGCUGGAUAAAGUUCUUGGGAAUGUGGCAUCUUUGGAUGUGUUAUAGCCCUGGGACAUAUGCAGUGGUUGGGAUUGAGGAACUCAGCACGCCGCGAGGCUGGGCUUGUCUACACUACGUGCUUAGGAUGCUGGCAUAAUGGCUUUAAUCGACCCGUCUUGAAACACGGACCAAGGAGUCUAACAUGCUUGCGAGUGUUUGAGUGGAAAACUCAUGCGCGUAAUGAAAGUGAUAGUUGAGAUCCCUGUCAUGGGGAGCAUCGAUGCCCAGACCAGAUCUUUUGUGACGGAUCUGCGGUAGAGCAUGUAUGUUGGGACCCGAAAGAUGGUGAACUAUGCCUGAAUAGGGUGAAGCCAGAGGAAACUCUGGUGGAGGCUCGUAGCGAUUCUGACGUGCAAAUCGAUCGUCAAAUUUGGGUAUAGGGGCGAAAGACUAAUCGAAUCAUCUAGUAGCUGGUUCCUGCCGAGCUUUCUCCUCUAGAGAAUGUUAA
rnacentral:rRNA from 1 species